rnacentral:tRNA from 1 species
CGGGGUGUGGCUCAACGGUAGAGCGCUCGCUUCGGGUGCGAGAGGCUAGCAGUUCAAAUCUGCUCACCCCGA